GAAAUGCGAUAAGUAAUGUGAAUUGCAGAAUUCAGUGAAUCAUCGAAUCUUUGAACGCACAUUGCGCCCGCCAGCACUCUGGCGGGCAUGUCUGUUCGAGCGUCAUUUCAACCCUCAGAACCCCUUGCGGGAUCUGGCGUUGGGGAUUGGCAUCCAGCCAGCCCCGAAAUCUAGUGGCGGUCCCUCCGCGACCUCCCCUGUGCAGUAGCGAUACCUCGCAGCGGGACAGCGGUCUGACCACGCCGUAAAACCCCCAACUUCUCAAGGUUGACCUCGAAUCAGGUAGGAAUACCCGCUGAACUUAAGC
rnacentral:misc_RNA from 1 species